AAGCCCCAGUAAACGGCGGCCGUAACUAUAACGGUCCUAAGGUAGCGAAAUUCCUUGUCGGGUAAGUUCCGACCCGCACGAAAGGCGUAACGAUUUGGGCACUGUCUCAACAACAGACUCGGUGAAAUUGUAAUUCCGGUGAAGAUGCCGGAUACCUGCGACAGGACGGAAAGACCCCAUGGAGCUUUACUGUAGCUUGACAUUGGGGCUUGGUACUACAUGUACAGGAUAGGUGGGAGGCUUUGAAACCAGGACGCCAGUUUUGGCGGAGCCAUCCUUGGGAUACCACCCUUGUAGUACUGGGACUCUAACCAUAGGCCAUGAAUCUGGUCUUGGGACACUGUCAGGUGGGCAGUUUGACUGGGGCGGUCGCCUCCCAAAAGG
rnacentral:rRNA from 1 species